rnacentral:misc_RNA from 1 species
GAGACAGAGAGAGAGAGAGAGGGAGAAUGAAGUAUAGGGUUUAUAGGCAAACUCAUGAACAAAAGUUGGAAAAAUCUUUGAGAGAAUAAUCUUGAUCCUACAAAGCAGAGUUCACAGCUUCAUCAAAAAAUAAAUGAAAAACUACACAGUUUGUUCACCAUGGAACAAACCUCCAUUCAUGAUGCUGCCUGUUCAGCCUUUUUACACUCUAAAAGCUUUAGCUCCUGGCG